CCUAACCAAAAAAAGGACAAGGAAAGGUUAGACGUUAUGUUAUUGUAAAUGUACGAAACACAUGACAGGUUCGUUAAGUUUGAUAAGAUUUCUUUUUUCAUUUUGUUUCAUUCUUUCAUUUUCUCCAGUUUUACAGACCUCAUGUAAAUAUUUCCUUUGUUAUUUUUCAGAAUGCUGAAAACACCGUACACAGAAGAUUUUCAAAUAUGAAGAGAUAGUAGACAGGAGAGUUGUAAAUGAAAAAGAAGAAGUUAAAGUCAAGUGGAAGCCCUGCUCAACAUGCAGGUUCUGAAGGAUCGUGGCUGCUGCUGUGGUCCUGCUUGACGUCUGCUUCAUAUAUUAAUACUCUCUGACUUGAUUUGAUUCAUUUAUAUUACAAUGAAGGUGUAUAAAGCAUGACAUGAAUAUAGAAGAUAUUUCAUCCUAAAAAAUUGUCAUAUGUCACAACCUAAAUGAUCCUAUUUUGUGUGUGUGGUUGUUGUUUGUUGUGUUUUUCUCCUGACAGUGGCAAAGUGUGGGAUGACACAUGGGAACCUGCGCAGUUUUACACACAGUAAACCAGGCACCACAGGUCGCAGAGAUCGCACAGUUCACAGUUUGUAGUUCAGCAUAAAAGUUCAAAAUAAGAUAUUUACUGUACAAUUCUAACCAGUGUCAGUCUCUGUUUCACUCUCUAACUGUGGCUUAAGUACAUAAAACACUCAUGAAUCUGAUCCAUCAAUAAUAUCUUCCCAGCACUCGAUAUCUCAUAGUUUUACAUAUCAGCCAACAUUAUUGUCUACAUGCUCAUAAAUAUAGAAGUGACUUGGCUAUUGUAACAUAUUGCAAGUUAAAGCAAUACUGCACUGCACGUAAAGUAAGUAACAUCUUGUAUGAGGUGAUUAGGGUCAGCAGUGCUGUGUAUGGGAGCCUAAAGCAAAGCUAACUGCACCAGUACCAGCUUCACAACAUGUUGUAUAUUAUACGUUUCUACCUGUUUGUAAUAUGUCAUCUGUCAUGUUUAGAUGCAGUGACAAUUGCACAUUUGGAGUCGUGGUCAUAUGUGGUUUUUAUAUACAGGGUAUUAUUUUUUUCUUUUAAUUGUCAUUUUUUUCUAUUAUUCUUGUUUGUUUGCACAUCAUUAUUGUGUGCAUAUUGCAUAUGUAACAUUACUUUUAUUGUUAA
ensembl:lncRNA